rnacentral:rRNA from 1 species
AGUUCGGAUUGUAGUCUGCAACCCGACUACAUGAAGCUGGAAUCGCUAGUAAUCGCAGGUCAGCAUACUGCGGUGAAUACGUUCCCGGGUCUUGUACACACCGCCCGUCACACCAUGGGAGCCGGAAAUGCCCGAAGCCAGUGACCCAACCUUAGGGAGGGAGCUGUCGAAGGUGGAGCCGGUAACUGGGGUGAAGUCGUAACAAGGUACC